rnacentral:lncRNA from 1 species
CUAAAUAGCCCUCCCCCCCUCAAACUCUCUCAAAUAUUCUCGAAAUCUUAAUUGUCUUCUACUGUCUUCUACCUCAAGCUCACCGGAAUCCAUGGCCUAUUAGGCCAUGGAUGGCUUAAACUCAUCUCCCCCGCUCUUAAACCCUUGGUAUUCAAAGGUUCGAGGUCUAACCUCGAAGUUGUCCGUUCAGAUCUUCGUCGUUUCAAGAUUCUACGUCCAUCUGCUCCAGUAUGCUAUGGUGUUUCGAGCCCAGUUCUAACCUAACUGACCCAGAUCAGACCUUUUCCAAGCCUUUCUCAUUCUAGGGUUCCUCUGAAACCCUGACAACUCGAGGUUCUCUCCGAUUUUUCUAAGAUCUAUCACGUAUCUGUGCUCUAUUUGGGUUUAAACGAAUUCCCCAAUUUUUCUUUCAAAAAUUAUCUUUUAAAAUCACUUCUCUUUGUUUUAGGGUUUUCUGAAAGGUUUAAAAUGUUUCUCCUACUUUUCUUUUCCUUUCUUUGUGUGUAUUUUUCUCCACUGUGUUGAUAUGUUUCUUUUUGUUUUUAGCCACGCAUGUGCUUCUGCUUUUUCAUGCUUUCCUUCUACUAUACAUGUUAUUCUGUGCUUUCUAUGUUCCAUUUUCCUACUGUGUUUCUAUACCAUGCUCUCACAUGUCUAUCUUGCUGUAUUUUCCUAUAUUUUCUCUUGCUAUUCUUUUUCGGUAUUCUUGUGUUCUUCUACUGUGUUUUCUACUAAGUUCUUAAGUUUUGUUUGCCUUCUACUAAACCUUUGUUUGAGUUCUUCUAAAAAGACCUCUUUAAACAUAUAUCUUCUACUGUAUCCUUAUGUGUUAUACUAUUUCUUUACUCUUCUGAACCUUGGAUAAUUUCCUUUUGAAAAGGUACCUUCUUCUAUUAUAUCUUCUAUUGUGUUCCCAAAUGUUUAAUUGUUUUCUCUUCUACUGAACCCUAUUUAAGUCCUUUCUAAAAGAAUGUUUUCUUAAACGUGUUUCUUCUACUAUCAUGAUUGUUCUCUCAAUAUGCUCCUUCACUCUGUUUGCUUUGAAUUUUAUUUGUAUUAGCUUGUCUUCUCAUAAGAUUCUGAAAAGAAAUCUCUGAGCCUUGUGCCUCCUCAUCUCUGUAUUUGACUCGAGGUGAAAACCCUAGAAUUUGGGGGUUCCUCCGAGUUUGGUCAUAUUAUUGAACUAGGGUACUGUUUGAGAACCAUUAACUCUUUCCGACAAACCUCUGAGUCUACGAAUUAAGUGUGAUCUUCUUUGUUUGCACACAAUUCUGAUUCUCGUACACUAGACACUUCUAUUGAUUGGCAUGACAGAUCUUUCUUGUUUAAAUGUAUCUGCAUGCUUUUAUAUGUGAUGAAUCUUUCUUCAAAGGGUUUACCAAUUUGUGAUUUAUUUAGAAUUCCUUUUAAUAAGCCUAAUUGAUUGUUAUUGAUUUUCCUUAAGUUAAAAUUUUUUCCAUCUUUAUGACUUGGUUCAUUCAUACAAAAUCAAUAAAUUUUUAAUUCUUGGCUGUUAACUAAUUUCCUUUCCUUAAAUUGCACAUCCAUGUGCUGUCAAUACCUUGUCCUUAAAUAGACCUUUAUGAAUUUACCCCUCUUAUACUACUUUGAAAAGUGUUUGAUUAAUCUCUUUCUUUAAUUGGUUUACCCGUUUGAAAUCAUAAUCCCUAAAUUGGAGGGGAACCUUGUGUAAUUGAUUUUCAAACUAUUUUCUUACCAAUUUCUGCUUGCUUUCUACACUAUAAAAGGGCACGACACUUCUGCACUUUCAGAACACAUAUUACACACUUUAGACACUUAUAAUCUCAUAGUUCUCUUCUGAACUCAUAGCCUUCUGACUACUUGUUUGUACUUUGGCAUUACAAGACUACUGCUUUCUUCUUGAUUGUUUCCUUGAAACUGGUAUGUUCUAGUUCUGAUUUCAGCAUCAUCUCAAUGUGUUUGUUUGCAGCCUUUACACCCAUGUCUACUUUACUGUCUGUGUGGACUUAUAUGUUAACUAACAUGUUAAUUUCCUUGCAUCUGUUUGUGUUGUGUAUCCCUACCCCUUGUUCCCCUUUAUUUGCUUUGAGUUGAAGUUCAGAACAUGGCAACAUGCAAGUUGUUGUUCAUGUUUGGACUUGAUCCCUUAGGGGAUCCUAACUCCCAAAUAAUGUGGCCUAACAGGCUGGUGGGGUGUGCCAGCAUUUCCAAUUGCUAGGUAUGACCACUAGCCUAUCCUUGCCUCUUCUCAGAAUCCCCUCUCUGCACUUACACUCUCUCUUAGAUUCUAGGUUCUUCCCCCCUCUUGUGAGCCUUGCCUUGAGACCUUGAGUUCCCUCUGAACUUGGACACUUGAGGGCUGGCUCUUCCACACUGCACUAAGCCUCGAUUCUGCAAUAUAUUUGGGUAUGAGCACUGCCCGGGGUCCAUUUGAGACUCUUAGGGAACUCUAACACAUCCCAAAUGAGAGAAAGGUUUUGGAAUUUGAUCUUUGGAGUUGGUUUACUUCAUGCUUCAGACAAGGAGUCUGAAUCAGUCUCUCCUUGGUUGUAAUUUUGAUUUUUCUGAUGUAUUGUUUUUAUUUUUGGACUUUAAUAAUCAUGUAGUAAACUUCUGGGGUGUUAGUAAAAAGGGGAGGGUCAAUCAUGCAUUCAAAGGGGUAGAUAUCAUGUUCAUAGGGAAUAUUUACACUUCUGCAUUCAUGUAUCCUGCCAACAGGUUUACACUUCUGUAUUUCAUUUAGAUAUCAUGUCAAUAGGUUUUGCAAUCAUAUAGAUGCCACGAAUACAAGGUUCCUGCACUUAUGCAUUUCAUAUAGAUACUAUGUCUAUAGGCUUCUGCAUUGCAUAUAGAUACUAUAUCAAUAAGUUUCUGCAUUUCUGCAUCAUAUAUAGAGACCAUGUCUAUAAGUCAUUUAUUAAAUGCUGCAUAUCAUAUAUAUAAUAUGCCUAAAAGACUUUUGCACUCUUGUUUCGACUGGAAAAUUUGUGUUAAAUCAGUAAUGCCUAGAAAGCAUGCAUGUAAGAGCUAUCAACUGAAUCUGAAUCGUUCAUUCGCUUUUAAGUCUAAAAAUAGUAGUAAUAGUGCUUAAUGUCUGCAGAACUUACGUAAUUGACAAUUUCUUUUUCUUAAAAUCAGUAUACUGGUUUUCUGAAAAUAAUAGAUGUCAUGCAUAUUGGUUCGUCUAACACUUAGACAAGCCAUAAGGUAACUAGUUAAGUGAAUAAGAUUUAAUGAAGUUACAACCAACAAGCAGGCCUGAUUUGGAUUUCUUAUCUGAAAUUUGUAAUAAAUCAGUCUGCCUCAACCUUUUAAGUUUAAUUAGACCAUAACCAGUACGUGUAAGACAUGCUAAACUAUCUUUCUUUAAGUUGAGGAGACAUGUUUGAGCCUUUAACUGUUUAUGUGCUUUCCCCUAAUUUGCUUAAUGUAUUUUUGAUUGUCGUCAUAGAAUUUUGUCCUUUAAACCAUAAAAUCCCAAAAUCCCUUCCCUUUAGGAUUAGUAGUCCUAAAUGCCUUCGUGACUGAUAAGAUUGGGGAGGGUAAUAGCAUGCAAUAAGUAACGACACCAUUCCACGCUUUAAUACCUUAACGGGGUGGGAAAGGAUAGAUAUGGAUAUGAUAACCGGUACGCAAAUGCCACAUGUAGCCCCUCUUCUGAGGAGUGAUUACCGGGUAUUGCAUUGAUGUGAUCCAUAUUAUUUGUAAACAUAGGAUCCCCUUUCCCUUUACUUGUUUGUUUUAUUUUCAAAAUUUUAAAACUACUUAAAUUUUAGCUUUUCUUUAUUUUCUUUAACUUCAAUUACUUGCAAUCGUUAUGUGAAAACCCCUUGUAUAGGAAACCUUUACGUGCCUAUUUGUUGUUUUCACUUAAAGUCACAAUUGUAGUGUGGUCGGGAACCACACUAGUGGAUCUCGAGUGGUGCCUAACACCUUCCCCUCGAGAUAAUUUCUAGCCCUUACCCAAUCUUUGGUUUCUAAAUCAAAACUCAUCUUAGUGUCCUAACGCUCUUUAAUCAUUAGGUGGAGACUCUCAAGCCCAAUUCCUAAAAGGGAACGAGUUAUCCUCCCAAAUGUCAUAAAUCCGAUUUCACGAGAAAAAGGAGGCACGACAGCAUGGCAACUUUACUGGGGAAUUCUUUAAGGCUUUUACCAUUUCAUGUUAUUUGUGACUUUAUGCUUCUUUAUGUGUCUUUAUUUAAUGCCUUUAAGUAUUUAUUUCCCUCUUCUACUACAAAACGGACUUGGCUCUUUGUUUCUUUCAUUUAUUUCUCUUAAUGCUUUGUUUUAUUGCUUUCCUUAAUACUGUUGAUUCUGAGGAAUUAUUGUAAUCAUUACUUUAUGAAUGUGCAAAUACGUGACAACUUGUUUGAUUAUUGUAACUGCAUAUUCAACAUCAUAUUCCACUCAUGCCAAACAAAAUACCAUAGCAAUGGUUAUAGUGAGUGGUUGAGCCUUUCCGAUAUUAUCACCCCUAAAUCCGGCAAAGGCAUAUUUGCGGUAAAACUAGUCGAUCAAUGGUGUAGUCGAUGGUUCCAUGCCUUUUCCUCUUGAUUUGUCCGCUCAAGGGUACCAGUCUAAUACCCCGUAGAAACCUUACUCAAUUUAAUUGUGCAUGCAUCAUUGUCAAACCUAGCCGAGUUAGUUAUGUUGUCCGCAUAAUGACUCAUUAAGUUAACCUUUCUCCAAAGUCCACUAGGUUUCCUUGAAACACAAACGGAC